CCAAAAAGCAAUCUGAAGUCGAUUAUAAAAGUCUUUUUGACAACUUUAUUGAGGAUCUCUCAGCAGUUAUAAAUCAUCCUGAUUGGCCAGCGGCCGAUAUGUUCUUUAGGAUUCUUUUAACGCUGACGGCCAAAAAAUUAUGGGACAACGAAAAGGAUGCAAUUUUAAUGCGUUUGAUAUGUUUGGAUGUUGUUAGUAAAAUCACGUGUGUCCUUGCC